GCAGACUUCAGAGUCACCGUGAUCACAUGGCCUCCCUCCAUCCUGCGUUACUUGGACUACGCGGCAUCAUGGUAGUCGCUGUUUCUGGCUUUGAGUUUUCCAUCUCCAUGAGCUCUCACAAUGCCAAACUGCAUUGUCUCAUGAAGAACCACUUGGAAUCCCCCUGAGGUCCAGAAAACACGUCUGACAUCAGCUGCCAGGCCCAUCUUGCGUUUGCAGUCCAAGGUCAGUCUACAGCAGAAGCAAGAGGCAUUCCCUUGAUGGCACAAAGGACCAAGAUGGGAGAACUUGCAAACAAGGAAGAGCAAGAAAAUUCCUAUUUAUCUCACAAUCUCCACCCUGAGUCCUGCUCUCCUAAGUGUCCCUUUCACAGGACUGUAUCUGACCUACUUUCAAGCCUGGGUUUCCCUCCUUGAUUAAGCUACUCUCGAUAUACCCUCCUACAUCUCCUAGGCAAUUCCAAGCCCCAUCAACUUGACAACCAAGAUUGGCCAGCAAAGAUGGUAAAUUAUAUGCUGUGUUUAUUUUACCACUGUGCUAUUCUGUCUUGGUUUUGUACAUGGGAAAACCCUGUUUUCCUUAAAGGUUUGAAGACUGUCUCAUGUUUUAUUCUUUUUGUAUGUGAGUACACUGUCACUGUCUUCAGACGCACCAAAAGAGGGCAUCAGAUCCCAUUACAGAUGGUUGUGAGCUACCCUGUGGUUGCUGGGAAUUGAACUCAGGACCUCUGGAAGAGCAGUCAGUGCUCUUAACUGCUGAGCCAUCUCUCCAGCCCCCUUCCUAUGCUUUAUAGCAGGUUUUCACAGAAAUGAUGCUUUUAGCAUAUGAAGUAACCUAAAGGGAGAGCAUACACUUGCUCCUUCUUGAAGUUUUACACUGCAGAUUUAUCAAGCUACUUGAUGAAAAAUCAGAAUCAAUAGUGUAUUUACUUACUUCAGGGGACAGAGGAUGUGAGAGCUUAAGAACAUAGGAGUCUUCUUUCCCCCUACUAAUUAAAUACUUUAUUGAGCAAGUACAAUAGCAACAAAAUGCAUUCAAAUUUUCUCUAAAGAAAAAAAAAUCACUUUUAAAGGCCUUUCUAGUCAGGCUAAUGACAAACACAAUAAAGGCAGAUAUGCUAGUUUAACAUAAUUGGCUGAUUUCAUACAGCACUUAUAUCUUUUACUCCACAAGUAUAUCAUUAAAUGAUAGAGAACAUCUAAUACAUCUAAUACAACUAUUUCUACAUAACUAGCCAAUGGAUUUCU
ensembl:lincRNA Gm4221 predicted gene 4221